rnacentral:tRNA from 1 species
CCCCAGGUAGCUCAACCUGGUAGAGCAACCGGCUGUAGACCGGUGGGUUGGGAGUUCAAAUCUCCCCCUGGGGA